AUACAUAUAGAGAAUGUAGAAGAUUAUUGAGAAGAUACAGAGAAGAUUAGCAUGGCUGCUGCGCAAGGAUGACACGCAAAAUCGUGAAGCGUUACCAUAUUUU